rnacentral:lncRNA from 1 species
GCCACACAGCCCUUGCCUACGUGACUGUCAUGAACACUCAGAUCCAGCCCUGGUUCCUUCUUGAGCUUCCCCCAUGGAAGAUGAGGGGUCCUCACUGUGCUCAGAUGCCAAGGUACCUGGGCAAGUAUCAACACCAAGCACCUUCCCACAGGAACAUCUUCACACCUCUCCAUGGAGAAGAAGUGGGAAUGCAGCAAUGCAGGCCUGCCUCAGUGGAUUGGAAACACUCACAGUGCAUGUUGGCUCAGACUCCAGCCUGCCCUGUGCUGCUGGGAGGCACUGGGCUCACCCAGGGCUGUGCUGGGCACCAGCAUCUCUGAGCAGGCUGCUGGGGCUCCUGGCUAGUGUGGAAAUGCAGCCCCUGGAAGAGGAGCCACAGGGAGCAGGCACAGCUCCUCCUCUGUUUACUGAGGCGAGUGUGGUCCCCAGAUUCACUCUCCAGAGUAUCCUGGCUUAAGCAGACAGCAGAAAAAUUCAUUCAAAUUAGCAGCAUGUGCCCCUUUCUCUGCUUUCAGCCUGCUGAGCAGUCAGGUGGGUUUUCCCCUCAGCCUGGGCUGUCUGUGAGUUCUGCAACACAUGUGGAGGUCUUAAGCCACCAUUAGUCACCAGGGCACAGUCCUUGUCUCAGGGGAGAUGGGGAUUUUGAGGGGAUUUUGUACACAUGUCUGGAAGGCAGCAUUAGGGAAUAAUUGUUGCAUGCAGCAUGCUAUUUCUGGAACCCUUCCCUCCUCAGCAGUCAUUUUCCUCGAUCUUCCUUGAUUUAGUGAUUCAAAACUCCCAUUUCCUUCUUUAUUUGGACUUGUACAGUGUUUUAUUUCCAUUUCUGUUUUCAGUCUAUUCUAUGACAUUGGGCCAAGCUGUUCAAUGUCUGUCUGUUGUUCCCUCUUUCCCUCCACGUCCAUCAUGACCUGUCUGGGACUGUUUUGAAUGGAAAAAAAGAACAUUUUAGCUUGUAUACAUGUGGGUUGUGGAGCAAGAUGACCUUUCAAUGUGCAGUUGUACAAUAGAAGAAGGUUCUCC